GCAUUUUCCCGUUUUCAUCCCUAGCUGCUGCAGGUGCAGAGGCAAAGUGCCGUGGUGCGCGCAUCUCCCUGCGAGGCAGAGAGGCCUUCUUAGUGCGAGCUGCCGGGACGGCAGUCGGCAGGAGGCCGGCAACAGUGCAUCAAUCUCCAUUGGCUUGGAUUGGGUUGGGUGCCAUGGCGGAUCCAUCUCGCGGCAUUGGCACCGGCACUCUCCGGCGUCCGGCGAGGCGGUUGGCGGGAAUCAUUGCUAGGACGGCGCUGCCCCGGUCGUUGCGCUCCUUUCACCGUCCACUGCGGGGGUACGCAGGUGGCCUUGAGAACUCCGACGCCUCCGAGGUAUGUCUCAAACGCCACCUCACCGGCGGCGACCACGCGCGCUUCAUCUCCCGCUUCGGUUGCGGCUGCGGCACGCCUCUCUUAGCUCUCUAUAUGCUCGUCCAUGUGCGCUUUCCCAGCUUUGCAUUGAGCAAUGAGGACCAUGGAUUCACCGAAGACCAGCGAUAUGAAACAUACCUGAGUUUACGGAGACAAACAUUGAGAAGCAUGGUUUAAUGAUUUGGUAUUCUGAAGUCUCCUGAUGUUUCCCUGGGGCUUAACAGUGGGCUCUUCUCAGAUUCUUCCUCAGCUUCAGCUUUAAAUUGCAUCACAGCAAUGUCAGUCAUGGGAAUUUCCACAUCUACUUGGAUAUGCUGUAUAGUAGAACUGAAAAAACCUAUACUUUGCACUGCCUGAAGUAAUGGAGUCUCUUCACCAGCUUCUCUCCCUGGAGUUGAUGUCUGAAGAGGAUGCUGUUCCUCGGUAGCAAUAUCAACACUUGAUGUGACUUUUGCCUGAUUGCAUUCAGCAGUAAAGCCUGUAGCUGCAGUGCUUGCUGUGACUUCCUUCUGGUUGGCUUCAAAGCUCAAGUUCUGAAACACUAUGAGCAAUCAGAACAGGAUUUUAGUUAGCUCAAACCGAACCUGGAGCGGAAAUUAUGAGAUAUGAAAGAAAAGGGGAUGUGCAAGUGAGCACCACAGACCAUGAUGGAUUGAUGGCAGACACUUCAAGAUUAUCUAGAAAGAGCACAACAAGACAGCAUAUCGCUGCCUGUGAGCCUUGCAGUUUUUGUAGUGCAGGGAGCUCAUUAUAAGAAACUCUAGCUUUGUGGGUCACAAUUUCCUCUUAAUAAUUUUUGAAAAGAUAACUAAAGUAAAGCCAGUGAUCUGAUUGUAUUAUGACCACAUCAUUCAGCAACAUGACUCGAUUUGUUUAGAAAAUAGGGUCUACUGGAAUUCAGCAGGAAAGCUGAAUUCUUUAAUCACAAAGGCUUAGUCAUAUUGGGUUUGCUGAACAAAGGACAUGCUUAUUUGCUUGCAGUCUUAAUUGGGAGCAUGAACUUUAUUUUAUUCUUCUCUCAACCUGUUAUCAGCUUGUUGUGAAUCGAUGUGCCCUGAAGAAGACAUAAGUUACUGAAGAUCAGUAUGUGAAACAGGACCUGGAUCCUUUUACAGGCAGCACAAGAGUUUGUUUUGUUUCUACUAAAUAUGUGAGGAGUUGGUAAAAACGUCAGCGAUCCUAGGCUUGCCUUUUGACAGAAUGUGAUGAGCAUCAGCUAGAACAUUUCAACCAAUCAAGCUUUCGGCGCAGGUUUAAUGGUUUAAGUAUGCCUGUGGGCACAUUUGAUUCUUCCCAAGUCAUGCUCCCUGUCUCAGGGAUUUAAUUUGUGGAAGCAUUAUCAUGGUUGGUUUGGCUCUAAAGCUGGAUCCAGUUGAGUUGGAGGGGAACAUGUUGUUAUGUUUUUGGUGUAAUCAUGGCCUACACCUCCCUUUCUGCUGCUAGCCUGCUUCACAGACUUCCAGAGACUUCUGUUGUUGUUCCCUUUCGUACAGGGUGGAAGUUGUUUUCCACCUCAUGCUUUCCUAAGAAAAUGUGUGUUUAUGAUUGCUA